rnacentral:lncRNA from 1 species
GAGUACAGGGGUUUGGCCAAGAUUGUCGGGGAUGUUUCCGCAGAAUGCGUUGUUGUUGAGGAAGAGCACGUCCAGGUCUAGUGUGAAGGCUUGAGGCGGGAUUGUCCCCGUUAACUGGUUGAACCUGACGUCCAGGUAUGUCAAGUUGGUUGCCCCUAGGGCUGCAGCGGGGAAAGCUCCUACGAGCUUGUUGUUGCUCAGGUCGAACUCGAAGAAGUUUGGAAGUUUGGAUAUUCCAAAGGGAAUGUCACCUGUGAAGUUGUUGGAGUUGACAUGGAAGAUUACCAGGUCCUUGAGAUCUUCAAUGAAGUCUGUUGCAACGAGUGGGCAGCCAGGUCCGCCGUUAAAGUUGUAGCCAUUGAAAUUGACGCCAACGACUCUAAACUUGUUGUCUUUGGUGCUUCUGUCGCAUACGAAGCCUUUGUAUUUGGAAUUGUCGAAACAGAUGCGCUUGCCCGUCCAGGUUUUGGUGAUGCCAAAAGGGUCGUACUUUAUUCUCCUUUUGAACCUUUGGAUUACUUGGAUGGCCAUUUUUAGUUCCUUGGAAAGAGUAAAUGGAGGGGGCGGUGGCGGUGGAGGUGGUGGACAGGGAGGAGGGGGCGGAGGUGGUGGUGGUGGCGGCGGCGGGGGUGGUGGUGGACAGGGAGGAGGGGGUGGUGGCGACGGGGGUGGCGGUGGUGGCGGUGGUGGCGGCGGUGGGGGUGGUGGUGGACAAGGAGGAGGGGGCGGUGGCGACGGGGGUGGAGGACAGGGCGGAGGUGGUGGAGGUGGACAGGGUGGAGGGGGGGGUGGAGGCGGAGGCGGAGGCGGUGGACACUUGGCCUUGGGGGGAUGCAUUGGAGGAUAUGCGGGCUUUGGAGGGGGAGGGGGAGGGGGCUGUGGGCAAUGUUGGCAUUCUCCAUUGUCAGGAGGGUAGGCAGGGGAAUAGGGAGGACUGCCACCCCCUAUGACGAUUUGGAGUGUUUCCCUGUUGAUGGGGGUAGUUGGUGGAGUACCAUUACCAACGACUUGAUAAAACCAGCAAGAGUGCAGGAUAACAAAGAAGACAAGAAGAGGAAAUGUGAGUGAGAAAGUGCUCUCCCUCUCCAUAUUCCAACACUUCUGAUGAUUGAACCAGGAAGAAGGCACAACGUAUAUAUAAUAUGCUGAUGGGGAGGGAAUGGAGGACCCAAUGAUCGGUGAGGUUUAAUGCGGGUGGUUCAGUGAUUUGAUCCAUACUGCCAAUAAAGAGGCUUAAUGCGGGUCCUUCAAUAAAGAGGUUUAAUGCAUUCUCCAUAUUCCAUUUUCUGUUGUUUUGGGCACCAUGAGUGGGGAGGCGUCCUCAUGCAAUAUGUAGAUUCUUUCACAUACAUACAUAAAUUUAAAAAAAAAAAAAAAAAAGAUCGAAAAGAUAAAUAAUAUGUUAAAAAAUGUGUUUAUAAUAAUACAAGUAAAUAAUUUUUUGAUAAAUAAGCAUUUUUAAUCGUAAAAUGCCAUUUCUGCAAUUGUGAUCUACUCUCAGAUAGUAUUGGAUUUUUAUUUGUAGCAAGGUAGGCCACCAAAGUGACAUCAGCCGUUUCAAAUGCUAAGGUUAUGUUUGGAUUGCAUGAAAAAUGACUGUAGCGAUUUGAUAUAUGUGAGGGAAAAAGGUGAUAGGGAAAUGUGAUCACGGAAAACGAUAAUAUUUUCCGACGAAAACCUUCAAUCCAAGCAAGGCCUAAGUUCUCCGCUUUUUCUUUAUUAAAAAAGGUAGGCCGUCUUUUAUUCUUUCUAUUUUCUUUUCUGCUUUAACGUGAAGAGUGUCUUUUUUUUUUUUUUUCAAAAGCUUGAUUUUGAUUGUAAACCUGCCCAUCCGUUCCGAAAAUAUUUAAGAUUUACCGGAAAAAAAAAAUAAAAACUACAACUCAUUAGCUACAGCUAUCUUUACUCCGAUCUACUUAGAAAUAAGAACGACACUUUCACUUAAAAAAAAAAAAAAAGAAAAAAGAAAGAAUAAUACGUCGAUAACACGACGCACUUAGCUAGCACCUGCAACGGCUGUGAAUCCGUUCCCUUUCAAAACCAAAAAGUCAGUUGCCCCAGCGCUCCGCUUUCACAAAAGGCAAUACCUACACAAACGGCGCAGCAAGUAGGGGAUAGUAACCAGUAGGACAAAACUUCGCAUGAUUGACCUUUCAACGAGGAUCUGUCCUCUUACUAUUAUUUCCCUCCCAAUGCAAUUCCGGAGGAGCCAUCCCAAUCGUCAAUACAUCCUACUUCCAAUCUUGUGCAUGUGCACUUCCUCCUUGAUGGCCUACUGUGUCGCAGUUGACGUGUGCAUCCCCAUUCGUCUAUUCUCACCGGCAUAAACAUUUUACACUCAAUUUUGUAUCUGCACUAACAAACUGUUCCCCUAAUAUAUCUUUACAGGCUACUCAGAUGCCAAGGAAAAUUAAAUAUCUUCAAGAGGGAACAAUAGGUUCCACUCUGCCUUUCCCACAGUUCUAUAACUGCCCUUUUUUGCUGUCUUCUCUGGACGAGUUCUAUUUUCAUUCCAUCUUUUACUAUUUUAAUGCAAACUUGGGCCAAAAAAAAAAGGGGUUCAUGAAUCCACCAAGUUAAGGUAUUUAAAUUUUCUGGCACAAUUUCACCACCAAAGUAUUCCUUUAAAAUUCCUAAAGCUUUGCCUUCAACAAUGAUGACCAUCCAAUCUGCAGCCUAUGUCAGAUAGUGAAGCAGCAAAAAGAUAAAAGAGGAAAGUAGAAAACAAGGCAGCUAAACGUGAUGCAUGAAAUUUCAACUGUCAGUGGCACUCGUAUGGUUUCUAACUUGUCCGACACUGGCGCGCACAGUUUUGCUAACACACUAGAUUUUACUGCACUUUUGUCUACAAAGAGAUGUCUAAAUGCUACUGAUAGGAUAGACGAAAACCACUACUCUGCAAAAGGAAGGAAGAUGGAACUUCAUUAUGAUUACAAAGAGCGCUAUGGUGAGAAAACUAAGCAAUCUUUAACCAAAUUCAAUGAAGCCAAGAACAGAAUGACACUGAGGAAGCAUAUAGUGAAACAGUGUUUCACACCGGCAAAUGUCUAAGAAAUGCAAAAGCUAAUACAAUCAACUCAGAACAAGUUACCCUUGGAAGGCACUAUUACCUCACCAACAGCACUGAUCAAGCAAAUAAAUUUCUUCAUUAGCUUGCAACUCUUCAGGCGAAAGAUUGUAAAAAAUUUUAAGCUAAAGUGCUGAUUACCAAGCAACAGAGUGAAGUACAUUCAUGAUACUUUAGGACCAUGAUUAACAAAAUUUUCCGGCUCAAAAGCCAAAUAAUGGCAGAAGAAGGAUAAAGUAACUUCUCUUACCUCAUCACAUGUCACAGGAAGAAUCAAGAGGUACACUGAGGUGUUGUAAUCAACUCUCAUGCUGUUAACCUCCUCAUUCAACUACUUGGACAUUACUUUCACUAGUAGCAAGCUAACAGCUAUUGACUAGCAGUAGAAAGAAUAACAGUGUAACUCAACCUCCUCAGACACCACUUUGGCAGAAUUCUAUACAACAGCAAGCCUCAAAUAUGAAAUCUCUUCCAGGACCAUAAAUCUCAUGUCGCAAAUCCAUUUGCAGAUACCCUCUCCACUCUGCUAUCCUUCACAUAGAGUGGUAUCCUCACACCAAGAUCCCUAAGUCGAUUAACCACGUCGUAGAGAAACUCAAAUGUGAGUUUUGAUUGUGCAUUAAGGUCAUCUCUUACAGUUGGAUGCACCCUGAACCAAUCUCCUAGCAUCUUAUGCACAUGGGAACGAAUCAUUCUCCAUGGCACUGGAUAACUCUCACAAAACUUUAAAUAUUCAACUAGUAAAUCCGCCUGGUCCAGCUUUCCAUCUACACAGAUAUCAUCACUUCCUGAUACCCAUUUGACAGUACGGUAUCCAGCAAAAAGGGCUGGGUUUUCCAGCAGAGACUCAGCUGAAAGUACCCCCUCAACCCCAGUCUCUUCCAAACAGCUCUGCACAUCUUCCAUGUAUCUUAUAUUCCCAUUAGCCAGAACAGGGAUUCUCAUGACAUCUCUAACAGCCUUGAUGGCACUCCAAUUGGCACGAAAUUUCUUCCCAUCUUUUUCAUCCCUAGUUCGACCAUGUACUGCCAAAAGAGCACAACCAGCAUCUUCCAACAUCUUGGCAUAAUUGAUUGUGUCCUCAAAAUUCGCGAAAAGUCGUAUUUUGCAGGAGACUGGAACACUAAGGUUGUUUGCUAGUUUUUCUACCAUAGAUUUAACCAAAGGAAGAUUGUCCAUAAGGAAAGCUCCAUAAUUCCCUCGCCUAGCAAUACGCUGCGGACAUCUGCACGGAUGGCAAAUAUACAACGCUUAACUAAGGCUACUUUCAACCAAACUCAACGAAAAGUGAUUGUAAUGAUACAAGCUGACAGCAGGACAACUUCCAGAUGCCAGUUACAUGGAAUUGCAAGGAAAUUAUACUCGAAAGAAUUAGCCACGACAAAAAGUGAGCAAUCAGUAUAGUUAGAGUCAAUAUGGAAAAACUGUUCUAGAAUACAUGUACGAGCGAAUAUGGAGAUAAAUAUGCAGCACUAGGUGCGAUAUCAGCUUAAUGAAAAUGCCCGUUAUGUCAUUCAUUACUGGAGUUCCUCUUUAUACAGUAGUUAGCAAUAGUAGCUAAACAAGGAAGGAAAAACAUGGGUAGAAGGCAUUACCCCAAAUUGAUGUCUACAUAAUCGCAGUAGGGUUCUACUCUCCGCGCAGCCUCCAACAAUAUAUCUGGAUCAUUCGCACAAAAUUGCACAAAUAGCGGACGGUCCUCCUGUCAUUAUUUCUCAGCAAACUUCUCCUUAAUGAAAUUCAAAACUAUACAACUUCACAGACUAAGUAACACGAAGCAUAAGACAAGUAACUAAAAACAAGACCCGAAAUUACCUUGCAGGUGGUAAAUUCUUGAGAGCGGUACUUUUCAGUUUCGGUAAAAAUACGAGAGUGAAGCAUAGGGGUAUAAGCAGCUUGAGCUCCGUACUUGCGGCAAAGCAUGCGGAAGGGGAGCUCGGAGUUGUCGACCAUGGGGGCCACUAUGAACUUAGGUUGCCCAAGCUUCUUCCAGUGUGCCCAGGCUCUCUCGAUCCGCGACUCUCUGCUCAGGUACCCGUUUGGAUUUGGGGCCGGGAGGCCGUCCAAAUGGGCUGUCUCUCCUUCUGGUUCUCCUUGUGGUUCGGAACACAGGCGGUCGUCGUCGUCGCCGCCGUCUUGGUUGACGGCGACGUUGCAGUUUGACGAUGAAGAGGAAGUUAGGUUUUGGAUGGCCAUCAAGUUAUACGAUGAAUUGGGCGGCUGUGAGCAAAUACUACGUGUGGCGCAGAGUGGCUUCCUAAUAAAUCUCAUAAGGAGGCGAUGAAGGCUGGGGAGGGUACGCAGCCCAUGACCACCCUGGAAGUUCGCAACGGAUCUCCUAUCCCGUAUCCUGUGUCACUCUCUGUCCCACUUUUUAUUAUAUUGUUAUUUCUCCUUCACAAACAUCAUGUUUUAAUUCUUUUUUAUUUCCUUAAAAUCUAAUAACUAUUAAUUGAGUAAUACACAAAAUUUAACAAACUCAAAAAAUCAAAAUGCAUAAAAAUGAGAUUUUUUAUGAAUUUUUUGUUGUAUUUUUUAAUUUUCUAUUAUAUAUUAGUUUUUUGAAGCUUUUGUAUUUAUUUUUUACUCAAUUAAUAGUUAUUGGAUCAUAAGGAAAUAAAAAGGAAUUAAAACAUGAUGUUUGUGAAGGAGAAAUAGCAAUAUAAUAAAAAAUGGGACAGAGAGUGGCAUAGGAUGUGGGACAGAAGAUCCGUUGCGAAGGAAGUUGGUGGGGAAAUUUUUCCUUCAAUUUAUUUGGAGGGAGGAGGCGGGGACCCCGCGGGAUUAUGGCUGUUUUAGAUGGGUGAAAAAAAUCGGAUCCGGGGCAGGAAGGUCACGUGUAUUUUGUAACUCGAUUUGUACACAGAUACAGGGUUUGUUUGGAUUGAGCAUUAUUUGUCAAAUUAUAUCUGCUUACAUCAUCAUUACAAUUUCCAUCGCACCUUUUUAUCUUCCCAAUUACCUUUUUAUCUCACAUACAUCACAUCACAAAAAAUGCUACAGUAAAAAUAUUCCAAAUAACUUACAAUCCAAACAAACCUACAAUUUAUUUACAAUAACAUGUAACUCUGACACAGAAUUUUUUGAAUCCCACACAUAUUGUAAACAAUGAGGUGUAAAAUAAAAUCUGAAUCUUUUAAUUUUUUUUGAUCAAAUCUUAACCAUGAACUGUCAGGAACGGCGUAGACAUUCUUGCCCCUCUUCCAAAAAAAUCAAAUCUUUUCUUCAGACGAGGAUAGGGUUGUUUUUGGAGUUGAGGCUCCAAAUUGAUGCAUACUAAGUAACUUUUAAGCCGAAUUACAAGCUCAAGACAAUUAAUCCGAGUUACAUAAUAACUUGUAGGCUUGAUCUUACAUAGCAACUAGUAUUUUGAUCCGUGCUAUGCACGGAUUUAUAUGAGAAGGAAGAGAAAUAUGGUCAAAUACAACAUUAUUAUCCUUUUCCCUCAUAUUCUUCUUCUUUAUGCCACUUUUUCCACCUCUAAACCUCCUACUCUCCACUACUCUCUUUUUUAUUUUCUGAAUUUAACUUCCUCGCAUCCCUACAAUCUUUCGUAAUUCUUUGAAAUCCUACCCAAUUUUUUUGUAUUCCUACAACCUUUCUAUUUUUAUCAAAUUCUAUUUUCUCUUUGCUCUAUCUCGUUGCUACCCAAUUAUCCUAUCUCGUAUCUAAUUUUACAACCCACUUGUCUCCUAUUCUACUAUUAUUUUCAUCUAUUUAUAAAUGUAAAUGGUAACCUAUUUAUUUGGCUCACCUAUUAACAAAUGAAUUUGCGUGUGUAAUUUAAUUGGAUUGAAAUGGGUGACCAAAUUAACCCAUUAAUUAGUGGGUAUGAAAUUGAUAGAUUUGGAUCACUUAUUUUGACUUAAUUAAAUUAGAUGUAGAUUCAAACUCAAUCAUUAGUGGGUAAAUCUAAAUUACUCUAAUAAUUAUAUUCUAAUUUUUGCAAAGAUGUAUUCAUCUUUUUUCCUCUUCUUUAAUUUCUAUUAUUUUAUUUUUUAAAAUUUAUCCUACUUCCUUAAUUCCUUGCAUAAAGUUUCAUAAAUUUCGUGAAUAUUAAUUGAUUGUUUGCAUUAAUAUCUAAAUUAUUUUUAGAUUGUCGUAUAGUGAUAAAAUUUGAAACUCACUGUGAUGAUCAUUUUAGGCUCCUUUAAGCAAAUUUUUAUGUUUUUUCCUUUUUCUUUAGAUAAAAAUUGAUUUAUUAACUUGAUAUGUUGAUAUGAAUUACUAUUUUGUUGUUAUACAAAAUAUGGAUGAAAAAUUAAAUAAAAUUUGGUUGUGGGCUGUGAAUGGAUGAUUGGAUAAUCCAAACCCAUAUAAAAACUAUAUUCAUUGAUGAUUCGUCUAUUUUGAACCAUUAACUAAGUAGGAAUAUAUAGAUUAACCUUAUUAUAACUUGCCCAGACUCAUAUGAAUCAUCAAAUUUGAUAAUUGUCCUAUAAUCUUUACCUUCGCUAACCCUACAGUUCUAUCUUUUUAAUACUUUCACUAUUUAGAAUUCAUCAGCUCACUUUUUUAAGUGUUUUUGGAUAUAUAAAAAGUUAGAAUUAUUUUUCCAAGUUGCUGCCUCAUUUUUAAGUGUUUUUAAUCAAAUAAAAAGCUAGAAUUGCAAUCAUCGAGAAAAAGUAAACUUUCGGAUGUAAAAUUGGUGAAAUACAACCUUUUUAUCAAAAUUUUGCUAAAACACCACCAAAAGCAACCUUAUAAAUACACCUUUAUUAAUUUAAAAUUCAUACAUAAAUUUUUCUUUACAUGCACUUUUUGGUAUACAUGUGCUAAAUGAAAAGUCAUCUAGAUGCUUGCACGAUAUAAAUAUUGAAUUUAUUCUAAAUGCAAAUAAAAUGUCAUAAUUGUUAUUUACAUACUCCAAUUUAAUGUUAGAGUAUAAUUUCAACAUUCAAAUUUUAAAACUUUAAAAAAACAAACCUACUGAAUAAAAUCCAACAUAAAAAUAUAAAAUUUAUAAAAAGCAAACCUGUUAAAAUGCCCUAAGCUUGCUGAAUAAAAAAAAAGGGAUAAGUUUAAGACUGCACGAAAAUUGAUUUAGUAAUUGUAGCAUAAAUUAUUAAAAAAUAAGAGUAAGCGAGUAUAUCAUUAGAAGAUUUUGACAAAUGAUUAUUAUACCCAGAAGGAAAUCGAUAAAGAAAUAAUUGGGUGAAUAACUAAAAAAUAUGACUAAUCACAUUAUCUCGAGGAUUUGGCUAAAUAAAUUAAUCCUCUUUAAUGAAGGAACAAAAGGGGUUAGAGUGAUAAAGAUAUAAUAGGGUAAAUAAUUUUAAAAUGGGACUAAUCAAUUAUCCCUGAGAAUUUUGGCUUGACAAAUAUAUUUUAUUUAAUUAAGGAGUAAAAAAGACUUCAAGCAUAAAUAACAAACUAUAAAAUGGUUUAUGAAAGAGAUAGUGGGAAAGUUUUAAAUUUUAAAUUUAACUAGUGAUAGAAUUAGUUAUAACCCACUGUUUUAAAUUUUUUAAUAAGAUUUUAUGUAUUAAAAUAAAUACAAAAAUCUAGAAAAAAAUAGAAAAUUUGGAAGCCAUUGAGAGGGUCUCUGUUAAAAAUCCACUAUGCAAUAGAUAUAGAUAGAUAUCAUUUCCUUUUUACCUCUUAUCUCUGAUGUGGGAUAUCACAUAUAAUAUUAUAUAUACAUUAUUAGUAUAUAAAACUAGUGUGAAUACCCGUGCUACGCACGGUGCUGAUAUUAUUGAAAAAAUAAAAAUAAAAAAGUGAAUUAAAAAAGAUUAAAAAAUUGUACCAGUACAAUUAAAAUAUAAUAGUUGUCUAACAAUAAUUUGAAAUAUGAUAGAAUGUGUAUAUUAUUCAAAAAUUAUCUUUUUUUCGGAAGAUAGACCCUAAAAAAAUAAUAGAAAUUUAUAUUAGAAAAUGAAUGAUAUAUGAAUAAAAAUGAAUGUAAUUAAAUGUUGUUAAAAUAAAAUACUUACAAAUAUGAUACAUUCAAUUUAAUAAUCUUGCAUGAAGGUGCGAACACUCUUCACACCAAUCAACUUUUAGUACGAAAGUCAAAAUUGGUGAUUUAAUUAAUUCUGUUGAAUUUUGUGGAAUGCAUACUACAAAUGAAAAUGCACGAUCUUUGCAUGAAUUGAUUCGUUGGUUGAACAAUCUAUCACCAUUGUUCUGAGAAUUAAGUACGUGUGAAAUUCAAAAUUAGUGUAUUUUUUAUACAUAGUUUAUAAAUAGCAUUAUAAAAAAUAAACAUAUAUCAAGAAAUUCUAUCUUCCUUUGUAAUUUUUUGAGAUAAGAAGUAUUACAAUCAAAUAUGAAUCGUGCAUGUCUGUCCUGUAGAUUAAGAUGCAUGUUACCACUGAAAUUUUUGAUUUGUAUGUUAACAUUGUACCUGUUUGACCAAUAAAAUAUUAUAUACAAUACAGAAAAAUUUGUUGAAAUUAAAGAUACAUGAAAUUAAUUACCUAAUAACAGUGUCGACUAUGUCAUUACAAUGCAUACAUACUGUUUUUGAAAAACGACCUUCACAUAGUUAUUCACAAUUUUUGCAUAGUUCAUAGAACAUAUUUUCUAUGUUAAUGCUUUGAAUGUAAACAAGUAUUCGAAAAUAUUUAACCUAGUAAGAAUGAAAGAAGAUAUAGGUUAUGAUUAUAAAUUUAAAAUAUUUGUGCAGUAAUUAAAUUAAAUAGAGUAAGUUUACCGUAUGCAUAAUUGUAUAUUCGGAUAUCCAUAUUCUCUUUGAAUUUACUAUCAACAAUACUUGUGAUGUUGUAAAAUUGUUUGAUUUCAACCACAUAACUAACUUUCGAGCACAUGUAUCAUUUUCAAACCUACAAUUUUUUGAAAUACAUAUUGAUAAAAGUAUGAAACAACAUUAAAAGUUUGAUGUAGUGUUGUAACUCACCAAUUGCGCAGGUGUCGAGCAAAAUCUAAACUGUGAUUGAUAUACAAUUUGUUAGCUCCAAUUGUACAAAGUGAUGGUCCUGCAUAGUAUAGUUAUAUUCGUUAAAAAACUAGUCAAAUUAUAUAGAGUAUAUGUAAAAGCAUUUGUUUUACCUCUGAGAUUUCGUACGCAAAUACCAUAUGCUAAUAAAAUAUUAUUUUGUGUAACAGAUUGAUAUUAUAGGAUUUGUAGUAUAUUCAAUAACUUGAUAUUCAAAUCACCGAUGAGCCAAAGUUUGUCUAAAUAAUCUUUACAGUGUCCUAACUCCUUGUAAAAAAAAAACACUAAAUAGUCCUAAUUGGCAUCGCAAGUUACGGCAAUGUGCCAGUGCCAUCUAGGUCUAAUUUUUUUUUUGUCAAAAUCUAGUUCUAAUUGAUUUUACUGUUUUUUGAUCAUAUUGUAUGCUUGCGAAUUAAAAUUGUAUUAAAAUAGCAUGUGAAUGAGCAUUUGUCUUUAAUUAAUGAGUAAAAAGAAUUUAAAAUAUAAAUAACAAACUAUAAACGGUUUAUGAAAUAGAUUAUGGAUAAAUUUUAAAUUUUAAAUUUGACUGGUGAUAGAGUUGUUUAUAACCCACUACUUUUUAUGUAUUAAAAUAAAUAUAAAAAUCUAUAACCCACUACUUGUUAUGUUCUUGGGAUUUUUUUUUUGGUUAAAUAUAGUAAGUUCCUUAACUUUACAUUUAGUUGCACUUUACCCCCUUAAUUUUACAUUUAGGUGCACAUUUGUGAUUUUUUUGAAAUGUAAUUGUAAUUUGCAAAGUUCAUUUGUAGGAGUGGUUAUAGGGUUUGUGUGAUAACAAAUAUUUCUUAAUUAUAAAAAUGUAAUAUUGUAUUAAAAUAGCAUACGAAUGAGCAUUUGUCUUUAAUUAAGGAGUAAAAAGAAUUUAAAGUAUAAAUAACAAACUAUAAAUGAUUUAUGAAAUAGAUAGUGAAAAUGUUUUAAAUUUUAAAUUUGAUAGGUGAUAGGGUUGGUUAUAACCCACUACUUUUUAUGUAUUAAAAUAAAUACAAAAAUCUAGAAAAAAAGAUGAGAAAUUUGGAAGUCAUUGAAAAGGUCUCUGUUAAAAACCCUUUCUGCAAUACAUAUAGAUAUAGAUAUAGAUAUUUACUCUAUCAAUUAAAAGGUGCUCGAGAACCCAUCACAAUUUAGGCUCCGUUUGAUUAAAACUGAAUAUGAAUUCUGAAUUUUGAAUACUGAAACAAUUAAUUUGCUGAAUAUUAAACACUGAAAAGAGAUAUAUGAAUAUCUGAAUCUUAAUGCUGAACAUAUUUAUACUAUUUGAUAAACAUUUAUAAUUUAAUGCUUAAUAGCUAAAUUAUACAAUUUUGCCCUUCUAUCUUUUAAUCCAAAAGGGAAACAGAACCUAUGAUUUAAUUAGAUUAAAAUUGUUAGGUAUGAAAAUGACAAUAUUUAUUUUUAAAUCAAAGUACUAUAAAAGAAGAAAUAUAUUAUGGAAAAGUUCAAAUAUCGGUGCAAAUAUAUUUUUAAAUCAGAGUUUGAUAAGAAAAGUCCAAAUAUAAGCAAAAGGAAGCUGCAAUAAACAAGUUUUAAAUUCACACCAAAUUAUAUAGAAAUUUAAUUAUUUCAAUGGAAAAAUGUUGACGCAAAACAACAAAUAAUCAAUUGGAAAUAAUAAAUUUGAGAUCAGUGAGUACGGUAGCAAUAAAAAAAAUGGGAGGAAAAAAAGACAAAAUUAUGAAAGAGUAGAAAUAUGGAAAAAGAUAAGGAGUAAACAGAUGUGAGAAACAUGGAGAAAUUGUAAAAAAGUCAUUAAAUAGGAAGAAAAUAGAAGUAGAAAACCAUUAGACAGAGAAUGUCAGGUUAUUUAAUUAGAUAAGAAUUUUGAAUAGAAAAUAUUAGGUUGUUUAAUUAGAUAAGGAUUUUGAAUGUAAUUAAUAAACAAGGAUAAAUUUGGUAUAUAAGCUAAAGUAAUUGAAGUAAAUCUCUGGAUUCUUAUCAAAUUAAACAUUCAGUUAUGAUUCUUGUGUUCAAAAAAAUACAUACAAAUUCAGCACCAUUUAAUAAGUUUAGGGGAAAAAUUUUUAUUUAUCAAAUACCCAAAACAUCUGAAUGUCUGAAUGAAUUCAAUUUUAACACUUUUUUAUAUUAUCAAACAGACACACACACACACACACACACACACACUCUCUCUCUCUCUCAUCCAAAAACACAGGCACAACAUUCUAGUAUUCACAUACUUGGUAAGCUUGUUAUUUUUAUGGAAGCAUGAGUACUGCCUGCACAUGGUAACAAGUAUCUUUCCUAGUGUGAAUGACACGUUGUUACCUUCUGUAGGCCAAGUCAUCUGCCGAAUUUCAAAAAAUUGAUGGAGGAGUAUGUCAACCUUUGCACAGGUGCAUUUUGAGUGAAAUUAUAUACCAUUAGCUGGGUUAUUGCUUUAUCUCUGACUCCAGUCCAUUGAAUGUGACUUGGAUGCUAAACGUCGACAGAGCUGUCUAGAAAAAUUAUACGGGGUAUAGCUCUGGCAUUGGGUGGAUGACCAGCUGAAUUUGAAGGGACAAGAGCCGGUGAUCCAUUUUGGGUGCUGCCACUGCUGCGUAUAAUUGGCUAUCCUGGUGUCUCCCCUGCAAAUGGCCAAGACAUGCUAAAAAAUGAUUUUGGAUGGUGAGAUUGCUGAAGAUGGAUUUCAUCUUCUUUUAUUUCACUUCUAGCACUUGAUUGAUGUGAUUUUGUGCUUCUUUAUGUCUUUUAUCCAAAUGAACGCAGUGGAGUUCAUACGGACUAUGGUAAGAUUCCCCAUCCUUGUUUGGUGUAAGCAUGAGGUGUUCUUAUUUAUACGUGACGAUGACCUCUUGUUCUAUACCAGGUCUGCUGACGUUAGUCAAUCAAGAUGAUGGUAUUACUGCUCUUCAGGUAUCGCCCUCCUGUCUACUUUCUUCUUUAUUUGCCUUCAUUUUUUAGCAUUAGUGUGUAUCCUAAAGUUCUUCGUGUUAAACUUGGGUCUGUUUCAUUAGUUUCUGCUUGAAAUAUAUAUGUUUCUCUGGUUUUUCAUUGUCACUACUCUGCACUAUUAAACUAGUCCCUUUGUAGGUAAAAAACCUUUCUGGAGAGUGGAUAUCAGCACCACCCAUUCCUGGGACAUUUGUUCGCAAUAUCAGUGACAUGCUGAAGGUAACUACUGAGAAUCAUCUCAUCCUAUCUGGGGCACCAAAAUUUCCCACCGGAGUAGCAAGCGAUGACAACGGCGAUAAACCCAGUAGAGCCUCUAAUACCAGACCCUGCCAUUUCUCCCCAAACCGAUAUUCAUGUAAGUUCAACAACCACACCUGUAAACCAUAGUAUCUCCCAGACACAACUUCAACUUCCCUCACACUCUGUUUCGCCUGAAAUUCAUAAUUCCACUUCCAUCCUUCACGCCUCAAAGUCCCCAAAACGCUCCUACAAGGACUGCCUCAUAUCUGAUAAAACCUCUUCAAUCAUUCAACUAGACCUCACCCAAACUGAACUCGCGUCCCCUAUAAACUUUUCUGAAACCCAUACCCAAACCGGGUCCCUUACCAUAGAUUUCCCCCCCAAACUCACAGAUAGACUCAGAGAACCUUGGAAAUUCACUCUGAUUGCUAAACCUCUGGGGAGAAGCACGGGUUUUAGAUACUUCGACCAAAAAAUUCGUCAUAUCUGGAAACCUAUUGGCGAAAUAGCAAUCCUAGAUCUGGGUAGGGAUUUCUUCGCAGUUAGAUUUAAAAACCCGGAAGAUCAUCUUAGAAUCUUAACGGGCGGCCCGUGGUUUAUCAAUAAAUCUCUUAUUUCCAUUCGCAACUGGUGCCCAUUUUUUAAUGCUUUCGAUGCGAAAGCAUCCACAACAACUGUCUGGAUCAGACUACCAGGACUCCCCCUAGAAUUUUAUGAUCAAGAAGCACUCUCUCUCAUUGGAAAUAAAAUCGGGAAGCUCAUUAGAAUUGAUGCAAGGAUGGCCAAUACAGAACGUGGAAGAUUCGCCAGGUUGUGCAUCGAGCUAGACAUUACUCGCCCUCUGCCUACCUCAAUCCAACUAGAUGGACACCAUCAGUUACUGAUCGUAGAAGCUCUGUCCUUCUGUCCUAGUUGUGGUAUGUUGGGUCACGACCAAUCUUACUGCCCUAAGCCCACCUCCGAUGAACAAACGGAAGCACAGCCGGGAGGAGGGACAUGGAGACGUGUUCAGGCGUUCGCCGGCAAAUCGUUUUCUAUGUCAGGAAAGCGACCUCUCCUUCGUAAACCCAACGGUCAGCAUUUUUCAAUUUCAAACGUUAAGUCCAGGCCUUCCCGACCCAUAAGGCCUCAUGGCCCAGGUGUUGGUCAACCCAAAAUCCAAACCUCUAACCGGGUCCCUAUAUUCGGUACCACAGAUAUCCCUAUUAGAAAUAAUUUUGACUUGCUUUCUGAUGUUGACUCUGUGCUUUCCAACGGCGCCAAAGUUGCUGAGCCUCCCAGACCUGCCACCGAACAUCAGUCCCAAAAUUUCCUGCCUAGUGCUCCUUCUCCUACAUUGAAACUUCUUAGCAAACAGUUGGGAGAAACUUUGCCUGCAAAUGGAAAGUGCACUUUCCAACCUCCUCCACCUCCUGCUUCCAAAAAUGACCCGUCGAAAGCCAGCUUCGAUUACCUUCCUUCGGAAGACAGGCUUAGCCCCCACGCCAUCAGCUACAUAUCCAAAACCGGAGAAGUUCUUUCACCCACCCCAACCUCAGAAAAACCCUACGUUACUCUCACCAAAACCUCCUCAGCUCAGUAUGAACCACCAACAAGCCUCAGCAAUGUCCCGGAGGACGAGAACCAACCUGAGAAACUCUCACCCCUCUUACCAAACCCACCAAGUUUGGAACCACUACCCCCCUCACAGAUUGGAAGAACACCCCCAAGCACCGCAUCUCAACCACAUGUUCAGGGAGGAGGAGUGGGUUCUGAUAUGCUCCCACAGAGUGGUAGACCCACUCCUAGUCGCGAACCCACAUUUCUCCUUGGAAGAGAUCCGCCAAAUCCAGGACCAACACAGUUUGGGAAGAAUACAGAUUUGGGCAACUCAAACCAGGAUAGCUUUUAUCACAGACCUGGACCCAGAAGACCAGCUGACAUCAAGGAACAGGGAGGUGAGGGGAAUCGGAGCAGGGAGACCUCCAUACGAACAACACCACCAAAGGCCAAACCGCCCACACAACCGGCCACAUCAGCCCCAGACUCAGCCAGAAAGGGACUACCCGGAACCAAGGAGACACUCAAACCGCCACUAUCGUUGGAACCCAUCAUGGAGGAGGACUCAGAAUCGCCCAGCGACAGCUCAGGAGACUUCUCAGAGGAUAGGUGCCCAGGAACCCACGGGCUCAAACCCCGCUCCAGAACACGAAACAAUGCCACAACUGUACGUCCGGCAAGAAGUACUCUCCAUAUCCCCACUUUCAGUCACUGCCAGAGACUCUCAAAGCUCUGUCACAAUUAUCACGCCGAUAAAAGAAAUGUUAGCCGUAAAAAUAUUCAUGAUGGCCAUCGAACUGCUAGGCGUAGACUCCAGAGACCACUCCUUAACACUACGCCCAAGAUUCAGUCGAGAGUUUCACUUUCCCGUCAAUAUCUACGACGGAAAUCCCAGCUCCCAAGUGAGGCCUCAGAGCCCACCAGAGCCGAUGAUGCCCAACCCAUUUCCUGACUCUAUGAAGAUCCUUUUCUGGAAUGUCAGGGGUGCGGGACACCCGAAUUUCAAAAAUCACUUUCUUCAACUUGUCCAGCUCCAUAAUCCCGCAAUUGCUAUUCUAGUAGAAACUAAACUCCACGGAGACAGAGCACGCCAUAUUUGCAGUCAACUCCCGUUUGACAAUUUCUCAGUGGUCGACUCUUCCGGGUUCAAAGGUGGAAUGUGGCUACUGUGGAACAAGGCAGAAGUUCGCGUAGAUCCUAUUUCAAACCUUUCGCAGGUCAUCCACGCUUCAGUCCAGGUAACCCCCUACUCACCCCCUUGGAUUCUUUAUGAAAUUUAUGCUAGCCCACGAUUUCAGGAAAGAAUUCAAUUAUGGAAUAGUUUGUGUUCCUCUAAUAACCCCAAUCUCCCUUGUGUUUGGAUGGGGGACUUUAAUGAGAUUUUAAUGAGUUCGGACAAGAAAGGGGGUAACCCGAUUAGUCCAAAUAGAGCCUGUUUAUUCAAAGAGUGUUUGGACUCUUGUAACAUGUUAGACUUAGGGUUCAAUGGGCCUCGUUACACCUGGCGGUGUUUUAGAAGGGAUCUAGGCCAUAUUUACGAACGGCUGGAUCGCGUCUUUUGUAACCCUGAAUGGAUUAACCUUUUUCCUGAGGCACAAAUACACCACCUUGCAAGAACUCAUUCAGAUCAUUGUCCAAUUCUUCUAGACCUCCAACCGGCUAUUAGUAAUUCCUUAAACAGACCUUUUAGACUGGAGAAAUUUUGGAUGUCUCACCCAGAAUUCCCACAACUCCUUCAUCAAUCUUGGUCUGGGCCCCCCUCUGUUAUCUCCAAUUCUAUCGAAAACCUCACUUCUAACAUCCUUUCCUGGAGUAAAAAGACCUUUGGGAAUAUUUUCUUUAAGAAAAAGAGGAUCCUAGCCAGACUCCAAGGUGCUCAAAAAGCGAUGCAAUCUCACCAUUCUAUAUUCCUAGAGUCUUUAGAAAAACAGUUGCUUUUUGAGUAUGAUGAAAUCCUUCAUCAGGAAAAAUCCCUCUGGAUUAUGAAAUCUAGAUUGGACUAUGCUAUAUCAGAUGACCUCAAUACCAAAUUUCUACAAACUUCUACCCUCUGUAGAAGGAAACGGAAUAAAAUUGUAUCUUUGAGAGAUAAUGAAGGUAAAUGGCUGACCAAUAGUGAUGUUGUUAAAAACCAUAUCCUUGAUUUCUUCUCUUCCCUAUUUACUUCUCACCACUCUCAGUCAUCCUUUUACCCACAGAAUUUCCCUUUUCAGAAAUCUUAUCUGGAGGAAGAAACCAAAAUAUCCCUAGUCACCCUCCCAACCAUCCAAGAAAUUAAAAAGGCUGUUUUUGAUUUGAAACCUCUCAAAUGUCCUGGGCCGGAUGGCUUUCACCCUAUUUUCUACCAGAAAUUUUGGAAUUUCCUUGCUCCUUCAAUCACCCAAUUCAUACAUGAUGCUUUCAAUCAAAAGCCCCUUCCAGUCGGGAUUAACGAUACUUUAAUUUGCUUGAUUCCCAAACUUGACAACCCGGAUAUCAUUCAGCAGUUUAGACCCAUAGGACUCUGCAAUACCACUUAUAAAAUACUAGCCAAGACCAUUGUUAAUAAACUUAGACCCAUCCUUUCAACCAUCAUCUCCCCUCUCCAAUCCAGCUUCAUCUCGGGUAGAAGUGGAACAGAUAACAUCAUGCUUGUCCAAGAAGCCAUUCACAGGCUAAAAAAUAAAAAGGGCAAAUAUGGGUUGUGUGCCAUCAAGCUUGAUCUUCAUAAGGCGUAUGAUAGUCUUGAAUGGUCUUUUAUUCAUCAAGCCCUCACUUUCUUUGAUUUUCCCCCAUCCCUCAUCAACCUCAUUCUUCAUUGCAUUACAUCUACCAAUUUGGCCAUACUCAUAAAUGGAUCCCCAACAAACUUUUUUUCCCCUUCUAGAGGCAUUCGACAAGGAGACCCUUUAUCCCCAUACAUCUUCAUUAUUUGCAUGGAAUACUUGUCAAUGGCUAUCACCAAAGAAGUGGAUGGUAACAACUGGACCCCUCUCAAGUUUGGGAGAUCUAGACAUUGUCUGUCACAUUGUCUGUUUGCAGAUGACAUCAUCCUCUUCUCGAGGACAGAUGAUACCUAUAUAACCACUAUCCAAAAUAUUUUGAACAUAUUUGGGGACCUCUCUGGCCUCCGUAUCAAUCACUCCAAGUCAAGGAUUCUAUUUUCCCCAAACACCCUUGAAUUCACUAAAAACUCUAUCACCAGGACUCUAAAGUCUAAACAUUCAGGGUACCCGAGACCUAGGAAAAUACCUUGGAUUUCCACUUAGUGUUAAGAAAGCAACAGCCAAAACCUUCCACUUCCUUUUGGAAAAAAUUCAGUCCAAACUCCAAGGCUGGAAAGCAAACCUGUUGUCUUUUGCUGGGAGAAAGACAAUUAUCCAACAAUGCAUAUCUUCCAUCCCUACCUAUUUCUUCCAAGCUGCACAUAUCCCAAAAAAAAUAUGUGAUGCCAUCGAUAGAGAACAGAAAAAUUUCCUCUGGGGCUCCACAGAGGGGAAGAAAAAACUCCACUUGAUUAAGUGGGAAACUGUUACCCUCCCCAAAAAGGAGGGUGGUUUGGGAUUGAGACAAUCAGCCCUUUUGAACAAAGCUAAUUUGGCCAAACUAAAUUGGCAGAUGAUGAAAAACACACAUCGUCCUUGGGUUCAAAUUCUUUCAGAUCUCUACUUACAUAGAAACCAACCUUUGAAAGAAUCCCCUCUUAGCUUCUGCAAAUCUAGAGGUUCCAUAAACCUCAGGAAUAUCAUACACGGUAACAACAUCUUCAACCAAGGGUUGGGUUGGAACAUAGGAGAUGGUAAAACAAUUAAAGUGUGGUCUGGAAAAUGGUUCUCAGCAAGCACCCUCAGAUCCUUAAUUGAAGGACCACUCCUACCAGAGGAAGAUCAACUACUCCUAUCAGAUCUUUUUGACAGCAAUGGUAAUUGGAAUUUCAACAAUAUUUCCUUCCAUCUACCCCCUUCCAUUACCGACCUGCUAAAAGCUAUUCCUAGACCUCACCAUUCUAAACAAGCAGACAACCUUAUAUGGAGGAAUUCUCCAGAUGGGGAGUUCAGUCUAAAAUCUGCAUAUGAGAUCACUAGUUUGCUAUAUAUUCAGGCCAAACCCAAUGUCCAAACACCCCAUCCUCCAAGCCAGUCUUUCACUUGGAUUUGGACUACUCACACAUCCCAUCGAACCAAAUUAUUCCUCUGGUUAGCUUCUCAAGACAAACUAGCAACAAGAUACCUCCUUCAUAAGAGAAACAUCCUCCCUGAUAAUAUCUGCCCUUUCUGCCCAGGACUGAUAGAGGAUACUAAUCAUGUCUUGCGCAAAUGUGUCCACGCCCAAGCUGUUUGGAUGGAGCUCAAUCCCAACUACUAUCUAUCCACUCUACACAUUCCUUUUCACAUCUGGAUUAGGGAAGGUUGUAAACUUUCCACACCCUCCCCUUUCUACAAUAUUCCUUGGGGCACACUCUUUGCCUUUACUUGCUCCACCAUUUGGAAAUCCAGGAAUAAAAAGAUUUUUGAGCCCAACAGAACACAACCUCCUCCAACCAAAACCAGCAUCAAGUUGGCCACUGAGUUCUACUCCCUUGGCCCAAAUUCUGGCCACCCCCCUCGCAGAAAAUCACAUAUUCUUAUCAGAUGGAUUCCUCCAAUCCUCCAUUGGUUCAAGCUCAAUUCAGACGGCUCAGCCUUAGGAAACCCAGGUCCAGCGGGAGCUGGAGGUGUUAUCAGAGACGCCUCCGGAUGUUGGAUUAGAGGAUACUGCAGAAACUUAGGUUCUACAAACAGCAUGCUGGCGGAAUGUUGGGGUAUCCGAGAUGGACUAGAAAUAGCCCUUUCCUUAAAAAUUUCUCAACUUGAAGUUGAAGUUGACUGCGAAGCUAUUAUUACUUUGUUAACAGCUGUUGCCAAUCCUAAUCACCUUUUGAACUCUAUCAUUUCGGAUUGCAGAUCCCUCCUUUCGCAGCUGCGGCAUGUUAAAAUAUCCCACAUAUACCGGGAGGCAAAUAGAUGCGCGGACGCACUCGCAAGAAUGGGAGGCAGAUUACAAUCCAACUUUGUAACUUUUGCUAAUUGUCCUCAAGAACUCGCUUUUGUCUAUGAUGAGGACUUGAAAGGGAUCUGUUUUCCCCGCACUAUCUCUUUUGCUUUAUAAUAGAUAGGGCAAAACUCUGUUGUUUAUUAAUAUUUAAUCCCUAUUUUCACCAAAAAAAAAAAAGUGACAUGCUGAAGGUAUGCAUCUCAAUAAUUGAUUCUCCAGUGGUUUUCAUGCUGUCACCCGAUAACUGUUCUUAAUAUUUGGGAAUCUUCAGAUUCUAUCCAAUGGCCUUUAUGAAUCAACUUUGCAUCGGGUGACUAACAACUCUCCCAUUUAUCGGGUCUGCGUGGCCUACUUUUAUGAGGUAAUCCUCUCUCUUAAUUUUCCUUUUUUAUUUUGAUUCAGCUUCUUAAUCAAUCUCCUUGGUUUUUUUCACAUGAAUAGCCAAAUAAUAGAGCCAUUGGAUGUAUGCGUAAAACAAACUGGUGGAACCAGGAGGUUUGAAGGUGCUGUUUACGGUAAACACUUGGUCAGUAAAGUCCUGACAAAUUUCAUAUACUGAGGAAUAAAUCUAUCUCCCCAUUAUGCCUGUUUCGACUGAAUCUCUCACAUUCACGAAUUUUGGGGAUUUCGUCUGUUAGCUGUUGAAAGGAUGUACCUAGCUGAUGACAUGGAAUUUCUUGUGUUUAUUGGAUUAAGUUGUCGGUUGAUUUAAGAUGACAUGACCUCAUCAAGUUCUCGGAGUUUUUGGAACUCUGUACCUAGCUGAUGCCCGUUUCUUUCAUUUGGUUUUGCCUUGAAUUGUGCAAUUAUGUUGGCGUAUCAGUAUUCAUAAAGCACCCUCAACUUUGGAACAUAAAUAUAAGCUGGUUGGCUUAGGCUUUAACUACGUAUUAAUGACAGCGAUGGUUUACUGUCUACACUCAUAAAAUAUUUCGCUAACGGAGGAAGAUUUUCUCCUCCAGCUUCUGACAACAAAAUACAUACAUACACUUAAUAUUACGGCGUAAUGAUAAGGUAGGCACUUAGGCGGCUGGCUGCCGACACCGAAAUUCACGAGCCUGGCUCUUUUAAAGCAGCAUAUGUCGGCGAUGGAGGCCUUGCCCGCUUGGGCACAUGAUCGGAUGUCUGUGGCGUGCCCUUAGAAACAUAAAUGCCGCAAGGCACGUAGUUGAGCCAUUUCGGGUCCGGGCAGGUCCAGCGCCUUGAGAAGAAAGCCUCGCAUUCCUUGGGGCUUCUUUGCGAAGGAAGGUCUAGAAUGCAAUUCAUGGUUACGUUCAGGACUUUCUUCUCGAUUAACUUCCAGCAUUCUGGUCCGACUUGAGUGAAGUAAUUGAACUUGAGGUCCAGUACCUCCAGGUCGCCCAGGAUGCACAAGCUCUCUGGAACCGCCCCGUAGAAUUGGUUGUACGACAUGUUCAGCUGCUGAAUAUCCUUCAAGCACCCGAAUGAUUGUGGAAUGGGACCUGUCAAUUGGUUUAUGCUGACAUCCACAAUAUGUGUUUUAUUCAGAAACCCAAUCUCAUAAGGUAGGCAACCGGAGAGGCUGUUGUUUAAGAAAAGAACCUCGAGGAGAUUUCUGGAAGUUUGGCCAAUGCUCCUGGGGAUUGGGCCGGUUAAUUCGUUGUUUGCAAAGGUGAGAUAGAGUACAGGGGUUUGGCCAAGAUUGCCGGGGAUUUUUCCGGAGAAUGCGUUGUUGUUGAGGAAGAGCACGUCCAGGUCUAGUGUGAAGGCUUGAGGCGGGAUUGUCCCUGUUAACUGGUUGAACCUGACGUCCAGGUAUGUCAAGUUGGUUGCCCCUAGGGCUGCAGCGGGGAAAGCUCCUACGAGCUUGUUGUUGCUCAGGUCGAACUCGAAGAAGUUUGGAAGUUUGGAUAUUCCAAAGGGAAUGUCACCUGUGAAGUUGUUGGAGUUGACAUGGAAGAUUACCAGGUCCUUGAGAUCU